CAGGAGCCUGGGUUCAAACUAGGCUUGCCAACUUUGGUUGAACGAAUUCCUGGAGAUUUCAUCAUGACAUAAUCUUUAAUUAAAGAUUAAUCUUUAAUUCCUGGAGAGUCCAGGACAAUCCUGGAGGGUGGGCAACCCUAUCCCCAGCCUGCCAAUCUCAUCUGUCUCCAGGCAUGUGGACUAUGUUCAUCACAAUGGUAUCUGAGCAUCCUGGUUAAUGGUGGCCAUUCAGUACACUUCUGGUCUUUAACUUUCACUUUUCAUUUUACCUUUGUAGCUCACCAUUAAGAAACAAGUAACCUUCAGAUGCAGACAUGGGCAGAACUGUGUGUUGGGUGCCUGACUAGAACCCAGUUUCUUAUGCCUCGCUUAAUAGUUG